UUAAAUGUGAGAGACAUUUAAUUUAAUUAAUUAAUGUUAAGUUUGGUGAUUAAAACUUAAUAAGAGUGAAAAAAAAAAGGUGUCAAAAGCCAAUUUGGACUUUUCUUCUUAUGAAACCUUUAUUAACCUUUAAAAAAAAAAAAUUUUAAAAAUAAUGAAAUGAUCAUAUAUGGCAAAGGGUGGCCAGCCAUGUGGUGUUUUAGAGUGGUGUGAACCCAAUUCUAUAAAGUUUAACUCCCAUUUUAAUUAAGAAGUCAAGUGGGCAAGUGGGUAGAAAAGCACUCAAGUGUUUUGUGAUAUUUUGAAGAGUUGUGUGAGCCAUUCUAACCCCCAAAUCCGACCACUCUCCCUCUCUCAUUCACUCUCAUCUGAUUUUUUUAAGACUAUUCAAAGUGUUCUCUCAAUAUUCAACCUCAAGAACACCAAGGAAAACUUGGAGGCUAAGUCUUGGUCUAGGAAGUAUUUUCCCUAAGGUAAACCUUCACUAAUCUAGGCUUUUGUAAAGUUUUAAGCUUAGAGUUUCAAAUAGCUAAUUAACUAUGUUGUUGGGGGAAGUUGGUUAGGGUUUUUGAAAGGUUUUGGAGGAGCCAAAGCUAAUAGGAAGGUCCAAACCUUAAGCAAGAACACCAAAGAGGUAAGUGCAAGGGCAAGGCAGAGCAGUGAGCGCUGGAGUCUUCCUUGCAAAUGUACAUGUGGACCGACCUUUUGGGAAGCCUUUUUAUUUUUGGAAAUGUUGUGUAAUUUUCCUAAACUAGGCUCACUCUAAUCUUUAUAAAACAUGUUUGUAAUUAAAUGUUAAGUAUGGCCAUACGACUUUUUAAAAAGUUUUUUUUUCUA